AGCGGAAUUGGGCAAACUUGUCAAAAAUACAGGGAACCAAAGCCAGGGGUCUAAAACAUUUUUGUUAUGAAAGCCGGGUUGCAAAG
rnacentral:ncRNA from 1 species